UCAAUAAGCGGAGGAAAAGAAACUAACAAGGAYUCCCCUAGUAACUGCGAGUGAAGUGGGAAAAGCUCAAAUUUAAAAUCUGGCAGUCUUUGGCUGUCCGAGUUGUAAUCUAGAGAAGUGUGUCCUACACUGGACUGUGUAUAAGUCUUCUGGAAUGAAGCGUCAUAGAGGGUGAGAAUCCCGUCUUUGACACAGACUCCCAGUGUAUUAUGGCAUGCUCUCAAAGAGUCGAGUUGUUUGGGAAUGCAGCUCUAAAUGGGUGGUAACCUCCAUCUAAAGCUAAAUAUUGGCAAGAGACCGAUAGCGAACAAGUACCGUGAGGGAAAGAUGAAAAGAACUUUGGAAAGAGAGUUAAACAGUACGUGAAAUUGUUGAAAGGGAAACGCUUGAAGUCAGUUGCAUUGGCCGGGGAUCAGCCUAGCUCUUUUGCUUGGUGUACUUCCUGGUCGAUGGGCCAACAUGAGUUUUGACUGCCAGAGAAGGGCAGAGGGAAUGUGGCACCUCCGGGUGUGUUAAAGCCUUCUGUCAUAUAUGUCAGUUGGGACUGAGGAAUGCAGCAUGCCGCAAGGCCAGGUCAUCUAGACCAUGUUCAUGCUUUGGAUGUUGGCAUAAUGGCUUUAAUCGACCCGUCUUGAA
rnacentral:rRNA from 1 species